ACGCUAGCUACAGGCUUAACACAUGCAAGUCGAGGGGAAACGGCAUUGAGUGCUUGCACUCUUUGGACGUCGACCGGCGCACGGGUGAGUAACGCGUAUCCAACCUUCCCAUUACUGUGGGAUAACCUGCCGAAAGGCAGACUAAUACCGCAUAGUCUUCGAUGACGGCAUCAGAUUUGAAGUAAAGAUUUAUCGGUAAUGGAUGGGGAUGCGUCUGAUUAGCUUGUUGGCGGGGUAACGGCCCACCAAGGCAACGAUCAGUAGGGGUUCUGAGAGGAAGGUCCCCCACAUUGGAACUGAGACACGGUCCAAACUCCUACGGGAGGCAGCAGUGAGGAAUAUUGGUUAAUGGACGGAAGUCUGAACCAGCCAAGUAGCGUGCAGGAUGACGGCCCUAUGGGUUGUAAACUGCUUUUGUAUGGGGAUAAAGUUAGGGACGUGUCCCUAUUUGCAGGUACCAUACGAAUAAGGACCGGCUAAUUCCGUGCCAGCAGCCGCGGUAAUACGGAAGGUCCAGGCGUUAUCCGGAUUUAUUGGGUUUAAAGGGAGCGUAGGCUGGAGAUUAAGUGUGUUGUGAAAUGUAGACGCUCAACGUCUGAAUUGCAGCGCAUACUGGUUUCCUUGAGUACGCACAACGUUGGCGGAAUUCGUCGUGUAGCGGUGAAAUGCUUAGAUAUGACGAAGAACUCCGAUUGCGAAGGCAGCUGACGGGAGCGCAACUGACGCUUAAGCUCGAAGGUGCGGGUAUCAAACAGGAUUAGAUACCCUGGUAGUCCGCACAGUAAACGAUGGAUGCCCGCUGUUGGUACCUGGUAUCAGCGGCUAAGCGAAAGCAUUAAGCAUCCCACCUGGGGAGUACGCCGGCAACGGUGAAACUCAAAGGAAUUGACGGGGGCCCGCACAAGCGGAGGAACAUGUGGUUUAA
rnacentral:rRNA from 1 species